CCGCCCGUAGCUCAGUUGGUUUAGAGCAUGGAGCUUAUACCUCCAGGGUCCUUGGUUCGAGUCCAAGCGGGCGGACAA
rnacentral:tRNA from 2 species